GUCUCACCCCAUUUCCCUCCCAAAGAAGAUAAGUCAAAAGCCAUGAAUCAUAAACGAUAUGAUUUGAAAACAGAGGCAAUUGUUCAGCGCUUUGCAUUUCCUUGUUUAAAAAUGCUGGCUGUUAUUUCCCUAGCACAAAAAACACUGGAGUUGUGAAAUGUUUUCUAAGUUAAUGUUUUUCUUACUCAGACUCUGUUUCUGUACAUCCUUCCAGACUUUUUACCAACGAUUCCUCAAAGAUCUCCAGUUCUUCAAAUGAAAUUCGCAAGAGACAGGAUCCAGAACUCACCAUCUUUCACUGAAAAGGAGACAAGGUCCUAAGACAGAAGAGCAAAAAUUAGAUUGAAUAUGAGUUCUUCCAAAGUAAAAGAAAACAUUUCACAGAAAUUCUCAAACAAACAUAUGCAGCACCAAUGGAACCUCAAGAAAAAAGUGAACAAUCCAAUAGGGCACAGCAGACAGAACAGCACAGCAGGAUGCCAUAUAGAAUAUGUACCUGAGUGAUGAGGAUUGGACUGCCCUCCAAAACCUGUUCUUUUAGUAGCAGGUCUGCAAACGUGUCUGUUCCUUCCCCUCCCAUUCCAUUGGCAAAAACCUCCAUGACUGGCAAGACAGAUUCUGAGAGCUGCAGCCAUUGUACAAGUCCUUUAAUAAAUUUCAUUCUGAACUGCCUACAAAACCAAGAAA